ACUGGUUCUACCAUCUCUUUCUCUCGGUAUCUUUCUCAACCAGUGGCGUGUAUUCAUGGAUGCCAACAGAAACCAGGCUUCCCCAGUCAAUUCCAGUCAGUACCAAUACCAGUCAUGGAUGCCAACAGAAACCAGGCUUCCCCAGUCAAUACCAGUCAGUACCAAAUCCUCACACAGACUUUACCAGUCAGUACCAAUACCAGUACCAGUCAGUACCAAUACCAGUCAUGGAUGCCAAC
rnacentral:lncRNA from 13 species